UUAAAGAUCUGAGAUCAGCAGGAAGAGAUAAAAACCACAGAUUCAGGGAAAUAUAAAGAGUCUUCAGUUUAGUUUUUAUUUAAAUGCAUGUGUACAUUCAAGUUGGUCUGUUCCUGUUUAGAUCCUAAAGAGCAGGAAAAAGCACUAAUUAGGCUUUUGCGAUGGGUUUGACUCCCCAAUUUUGAAUAUUUAUGAGGCUUUUUUGAGCAUAGGUUUUAAAGGCAAAUAUGCCAGAUUCCAGUCUCUUCUCUGAUUCAUACUCUUUGUAUGAUCUUGAAUAAUUAUGUUUGCUGAGUUUCACUUUUUCAUCUGUUAAGAAGGAAGGGGUGAUCAAGUAUGGCAAAUUAGGAGAACUGAGAAUUAACCAUAUAUAUAUAUAUAUAUAUAUAUAUAUAUAGAGAGAGAGAGAGAGAGAGAGAGAGAGAGAGAGAGAGAGAGAGAGAGAGACAGACAGACAGACUAUGCAAAUUAGGCCAGGACGCCGGUAAUGGGUCACAACCAGACAGGAGGAGGUUGCACGAACAGGUGAGGCCUGGAGCGGAGGAGACAGACACAGGAGGGGUUGCCUGAGCUGGCACAGCCGCUCCAGAGGCCCAGAGCGGACUCAGGUAGGAGGCCAGGGGGUGCCUAAGGCGGAAGUCAGGCGCGGGUCCUGGCUGCCCUUGGCGCCAGUCAGGCCUGACUCCCGCAGCAGCCCAUGGGGUGCCUCCUCGCAUGGCGGGAGGCGGGGCUCCUACUUGCGCAAUUUCAAUUGUGCGCUGGGCCUCUAGUUGGUUUAAUAAAAUAUACUUGGAAUGAGUGAAUGAUGCCUCCUUGGAAAAAUAGUAGAUAUUUAAUAAGUGACUCCAUCAUUUAAGAACUGCUGUUUGGGUUUUUAAUAGGAUUAUUUUGAGAAUUUUGUGAUGACUUUUAGGGAUAGUUCACACGAGGCUUGUUUAAAUUCUCAUUAUUUGAUUAUUUGGCUAUAAAAAGGAGAGUGAUAAGCAAUGGGGCCAUUUGUUGCUUAAAAUGAAUUAUGUGGCACAUUUGGUAUAGCCCAUCUUAAUGCCUUAAAAUUUUUCUGUUAUUAUCUACCAAGAUCUCUAUUUUAACAUAUGUGGAGACUGAGAUAUGAACCAGUGAAAUCUAAUAUCCUUGGAGAAUGUCAUGUUUGUGGCAAGGCUUAGAGCAGCGAUUUUCAACCUUUUUCAUCUCAUGGCACGCAUAAACUAAUUAUUGAAAUUUUGCGGCACACCAAAAAAAUACAUUUUUUGCUGAUAGGAUAAAAAUAGGUUACUUUUGAUUCUUUCACACUGAGUGGUUGUUAUUGUGCUGAUUGUUGUCAUUCUUUAAUUUGACAGCCUAAGGGAAAAGAUGUCAGUGCCUCUGACAAAAUAGCUAGUUAGUGCAUGUUGUACAACUUAUUUCGGCACGCAGUGUGCCUCUUGGGGCACACUGGUUGAAAAUUGCUGUCUUAGAGCAGAAUGCUGGCCUCCAUUGUGUGUAAUCUUCAGGGCUUUCCUACUGCUACUCACUGGCCAAAGUAUUUUCAUAGCUCUUUUUCUGAAGUGCUAGGUGAGCCUUUAGUAAUUUGUCUUUUUAUAGGGCUAGACUUGUAAAUGAGUAGUAAGUAAACAAUAGAAAUAGUAAGUUGGAAAAACGUAUCCAGGCUUGUAUAGUGGUUUUUAAAUUUUAUUCAAGGAAGCUGCCUCAGGAAUCUCACCAAGGAAGGCCAGUGUGGCAAAACUUUAGUUCUGCUUCAUAUAGAUCAGCUCAACUUGUAUCUAUUUUAUGUAUUAGGAUUCCGUUCAUAAUUUUAUUUGAAAAAGUGGCUUCACUAUCCCCUUCCCAUCAAAGGUUAAAAACUAGUGGUAUAGCUGAAAGAGCCUUGCACCAAGAGGUUAGCACUAGCUCUCCUGCAAACUAGUGGAACAUCUUAGGAGAAAGAAAUAAUUUGAUUGGAUAAUUUUUUAUGGUUUCUUCUGCCCCUCCAAAUAGUAUGAUUUAAAGAUCUGCUGUCAAGACCAUAAUUAGACUUGAAUUUGUUUUGUUUUGUUUUUCAGUGAAAGGGAAAGAAUGUGUAGGAAAGAAUUUCAGGUAUAAUUUAUUUCCAGAAGUGACCAUGACUUGUCCCAGGACUCUGGCCUGAAUUUAAGUGUGUUUGGUCUAGUUCAGGGGCAUGUAUAGUAUGCUCCUAUCCUGGAAGAAUCCUAUUGUUUUGAACCUUCUAUCUGACCACUAGCGUUAUUGUCCUCUUGCCUUUGGUGGCUCGCACAAAGACAUCAUCUGUUUAUAUUGGUAUAGUGAGGUCAUGUGACCUUAAGAACAGAUGGCCCAGGUGAAACUUGACUUUUUAGGUCUUGUCCCCUAAAUACGACCAGCUUUUGUUACAUGUGAUUAAAAUGUCACUAACAAGGCUAAUUUCACAUGCUGUUUGGCAAAUGUGGUUAGCAGAAUGUGACAUGACACAGCACUGCCUUCUUCCUCAAUGUGCCAUCUCCCUUGAGGCCUUAUCUCCCCUACUCGCCCCUGUCUCACUCAUGCCCAAGCUUGCCUUCCAGCUCACCUGCUCCAGAUGGGCGGCACAGUGGGAGGACACUGGCAAAGGCAGAUGUGUUUAUUUUCCGGAGACAAAAUGUUGUGCUGCCGCAGAUGGCAGUGCCUUGAAGCAAAUGGCAGCCUUUGACACUGCUGCCACAUAGCCUGGGCAUCUUGACAGACAGAGCUGGCUUACUUUUGGUGAUGGGGAAAUUGAAAAAAGAAAAUCAAGAUGCUCAUCGUAAAACUCAUGGAAUUUAGUACAAAUAGCAAUUCUAUUAGUCCUGGAGAGCAAUUUUCUUUUCCCUGAGACUGCAGUUAGUAUUUUCACAAUGGGCCAAAAGUUAUAUGUCUGUUAAUUAUUUUUGUCUCGUAGCCUUAAUAGGACAUAAAGUAAAAACUGAAAACAUACGGCGAUGUUUAGGUGGGUAUUCAGUGAUAUUGCAAAACACUUGUGCAUCCCAGGUCAUAUCUCACAGGAGUCUCUUAGGAUUGGUUGUAGGUCAUGUCUGCCCCAUUGGAGAUACUGUUCUAUUAUCCAAAGGCCCAGGGACAAAUGUGCCUUGAAAUUGAGAUGCCUUAAUUAAUAUGACAGUACUUUAUGCUUACAAUGUUUUUCUACCAAGAAGAAUAAGAAUUCUGAUAGCUGCCCUUUUAAGCAGUUUGCUUAUGCUGUCAUUAGGGCUUGACAUAAGAUAUUUAGGAAGAUAAAGACUUACAUGUUGAAUCAUUAUACUUACUUGUCUCUCUCCUAAGAAAAAAUGGCUUAAGAAGAUUCUUCUUUGAAAGUUACUGGCUUUAUCAGGAAACCUUUUAUUUCCUUCUUUUUAAAAAAUAUGUGCUGUUUUUCCCAGCCCUAGUGCUGAUAGAGUUAGGAGUUUGCAGGUGUAAAGUCCUCCCCCUCCCCUUCCCCAUCUCUCUCCAGGGGGUUAUAUGUGAGAAGGUGUUGCUUUCUCGCUCAGAGAGCAUAUAUGUGCUACCCUGUUGGAUGCCUGCUGUGAACAGAGAGAACCCCUGUUCUGGUUGAAUGGAAUGAUGCUAUUGGGUGGCUGGGAUUAUGCAACCCCAUAAUGCCAAGUAUCCACUUAAAGCAUCUUUCCUACCCACAGUGGAGGUAGAGCAAUAUAGGUAAUUGGUCUAAAUUUGUAUUCUUUUGAAACUUGUGUCUUGAAAAUUAUAUGAUUUCCUAUCAUGGUAUGGGUUAAGCCAGGAGCAGCAAAGUACUGAGCCUGCUUAGUAAAAACAUACUGUUAUUUUAUUCAUUCAUUCAUCACCCAAGGAUAUGUUCUUAUUGAUUUUUAGAGAGAGAGGAAGAGAGAGAAACAUCAGUGUGAGAGAGAGAAACAUCUAUCGGUUGCCUCCCAUAUGUGCCCUGACUGGGUUAGGUUUGUGCCCUAACUGGGAAUCAUCCUGAAACCUUUCAGUAUACGGGAUGACACUCUUAACCAGCUGAGCCACGUGGCCAGGUAACAUGCUUGUAGUUUUUAAAUGUUUGCCAUUGGAAGUUCCAGGCUACACGAACUUUUAAGAUUGCUUUAAACCAGUAUCCUGGCCUGUGUGGGCAUGCCCUUACACACUCACAGAUACAAAUAUACAUAUACCCUGGCAUCUUGGUGCCUCUUUAUCUGCCCUGGCCCAGAACCAUGCAAGGAUAUGAACCCAGGGGCUGAUUCCAAAAACUCUGUGAGAUUUUCUUUAUUCUCUCCUAAAAAAUAAGUAUCUAAAAUGGAAGACAGCGGGGUCUUGGAUGGGGAAAGAGUUGACUGCUUUGUUUCUUGACCUGGGAAGUAGUUACAUGCAUAUUCACUUUAUUCCUUAAACUGUAUAUGUAUAUUUUAUGCAUUUUUAUAUGUAUGUGUUAUUUCAUUUAAAAAGUUUAAAAAAAUAAAAAGGAAGGAUUAAAGGACAUGAAAGCACAACAUAUUUUUUGAAAGUUAAAAAUGAAUAAAGUAAGUUCAUGGAGUACUACUUAGCUAUAUAAAAAAAGAAAAUCUUAACUUUUAGUGGCAGCAUGGAUGGAUGUGGAAAUUAUGCUAAGUGAAAGAAGCGAGUUAAAGAUAUACCUUAGGAUCUUACUUAUAUAAGGAAUCUAAUCAACAAAAUAAACAAAAUAGAAACAGAAGCAUAGUUACAUAGAACACACUGGCAGCUGUUAGAGGGGUGGGAGAUUUAGGGGCUGGGUGAAAAAAGGUAAAGGAAUUAACCAAAAAAUAUACAUGUAUGACACAUAGACACGGACUACAGUAUAAUGAUAGCCAGAGGGAAAGGAGGGUGGGAAGAGGUGGAAGUGGACAAAGGGAGGAUAAAUGGGGAUGGAAAGAGACUUGCCCUAACUGGUUUGGCUCGGUGGAUAGAGCAUUGGCCUGCAGAUUGAAGGGUCGCGGGUUUGAUUCCGGUCAGAGGCACAUGCCUGGGUUGCGGGCUCAAUCCCCAGUGGAGGGUGUGUGGGAGGCGGCCAUUCAGUGGUUCUCUCUCAUCAUUGAUGUUUCUAGCUCUCUCCCCCCUCUUCUUUCCUCUCUAAAAUCAAUAAGAAAUGUUCUGGGGGGAAAAAAAAGGAAAGAGACUUGACAUUGGGUGGUAAGCACAUGAUACAGGGUGCAGAUGAUGUUUUAUUGAAUUGUACACUUGAAACCUGUAUGGUUUUAUUAACCAGUGUCUCUAUAAAAAAAUUCAAUAACAUGAAAAUAAUAAAAUUUAAAAAAGAAAGUUAAAACUUAAAAAUAAGUUUAGAUUUACCUUUAUUUUUGAGUAUAGACGGUAGAGCAAAUAGGAUUAGCUAGACCAGAAAGAAAAGGGAGAGGGAAUAGUAAUUAUCUGUGAUUCUUUCUAAACUAAAAUAACCUGCCAGAAUUUCACAUUUCCCUUUCUCAUCCUAAUGUGUGCCAUUCCCUAUAAUUGAGAAGUUCCAUCGGUGCUGAUAUUCAUUCAUUCAUUCAGCAAAUCUACAGCCUGCAUUGUCCUUAGGGCUAUAGGAAGCAGAGGUGCAAAGCUCAGUGUGAGCCUUCAAGAUGGGGAAAUAGAGAAAUAAACAGUUAUUGCAGAGUGACAACUGCUAUAAUAGCCAUACAGAUGGAUAGGUGCUCUGAGAACAGAGUCUAACCUGAACCUUGAAGGACCAGCUGUCAGUAAGGCAAAGAUGAAACAAAAGGGAAAACUGAAAGCAUAGACCAAGGAGGUGUACAAGAGAAUGUGUUAGGGUUAGGCACAGUGGUUUUCUAAUGAUGUUUGGGGCAGGGUCAAAUAGUUCUUCUCUGAGACUCCUACUCCUAAUUUUUAAUCUGUUUUAACUGGAAGGGUACUAUAUACAAAUCAGGACUCUACUGAUUGAAUAACAGACAUAAAUAAAUGUCUUUAUAUAGUUUUUAUUACAUAGCUAACAUCCAAAAUAAAGUAGUUUGUUAAAUGCAGCUGAGGUUUUUAGGGGAAUGGUAAGAGAUUGAAACUAGAGAGGUCGUCCACGUUAUGAAAACUUUAAUGAAAAAGCUUUAUGCUAACCCUGGCCAAUUGCUCAGUGUUAGAGCGUUGGCCCAUGGACUGAAGGUUCGUAGGUUCUAUUUCAGUUCAUGGUCCGUACCUCAGUUGCAGGCACAAUCCUUGGCCGGGUUGGGUUGCAUGCAAGAGGCUACCAAUCAAUGUAAGAUCGGUGUUUCUCUCUUUUUGUCUCUCCCCCUCCCUUCCAUUCUCUGUAAAAUAGAAUCAAUGCAAUAGAAAUGCCUGGGUGAGGAUUAACAAAAAAGAUAAAGCUUUAAGCUAAAAGUAGUGGGGCUCUCUGGGAAUUUGUUGGCUGUGAAGGGGUUCACAUCAAACGAAAUUUAGUUAGACCAUUAGCUGCUCUUCGGUAGAGCUUUUGGGGAAAGAAGCAGGGAGACCAACGAGGAACUUCCAUCCAUCGAAGAAGCAGGAGUAACUUGUGUUGAACCUAGGUUGCUGAUGGGGAGCACUGUGUUCUAAUAGAGGGGGCCCUAAAUAGUCUUCUUCCCAAAAUUUCCUUAAUAAUCUUCAUCUAGUUGCUAUGGACAUCUGAAACAUAUACAAUCAUAUAUAGUCUUUUUUUCCCCAGUGGAUUUAUUUACUUGUCUGCUUAUUUUUAUCCUCACCUGAGGGUAUGUUUUUAUUGCUUUUAGAGAGAGAGGAAGGAAGAGAAAAUUUUGAUCGGUUGUUUCCCCUUAUGUGCCCCAACAGGGACUGAACCUGCAACUUAGGUAUGUGUCCUGCCCAGGAAUUGAACCCGCAACCUUUUUGGUGCCUGAGACCAUGCUCUAACCCAGCGGUCACCAAUCUUUCAGACCUCACGGACCACCAGUUGGCUACUGCUGCUCUAACCAAUUGAGCCAGCUAGCCAGGGCAGCAGAUGUAUUUAUUAACUCAGGGAGAUGUGUCAGUGCUGAUGUUCAACAUAAAUAAAUACUCAUGGGCAUGUUUAGGAUGUAUAACUUAAUAUAUGCCUUAUGUAGAAAGCAUAUCUUCUGCACUUGAAUUUUUGAGAACUGCCUUAAAGGUAUAUGGAAUCUUAAAUUUUCCCUGGAAACUGUCAGCUCAUUAAAAAGAAGAAUUCAAGUGGCCUUGUUGCAGACAUCGUGUUGUUGGUUUUGCCAUUGCACAAUCAGCAAUUUUAUUUUGAUGUUAUUUGGAGAAAACAGUAUUUUUGAUUAGCAAGUAAAAUUAAUGUAGAAAACAAAUACUGUGUUAACUAGUUGGUAUAAUAAGGCAUCUGUGCCAUGUUGCAUUUCAACUCAUUAAAUUUCUAAACUUCUAAUUACAAUAAGAUUACAACUUUAAUAGGAGAACGUUCAAACUUGGGGUUAGUCAUGGCUUUAGAGAAGUAAAAUUUACAGAAAUUUUGGAAUUACUGAAGGGGAACUCUAAAAUACAGUUUUGCUAAAAAUUGAAAUAUAUACAAUAUUUAUUUAUUUAGUUUUGCUCCUAUAAUUCAGAUUCAGUUAACAUUUAUUAGUCACUUACUACUUAGUAGGCCAUCUUCCAGGAACUUUAACACAGGGAGCACUUUUCAUUUUUCACAGCUAUCAGGCAAGCAGUAUUAUCUCUUACAUUCAGGUGGACACUCAAGGCUCCAAGGCCAGGUGACUUACCGUAGGUAACAUAAAUAUAAAGUGAUAAAGGGCCUAGCUGGUUUGGCUCAAUGGAUAGAGCGUCAGCCUGCGGUCUGAAGGGUCCCAGGUUCAGUUCUGGUCAAGGGCACAUGCCCAGGUUGUGGGAUCGAUCCCCAGUGGGGGUUGUGCAGGAGGCAGCUGAUCAAUGAUUCUCUUUCAUCAUUGAUGUUUCUAUCUCUCUCUUCCUCUCCCUUCCUCUGUGAAAUCAAUAAAAAUAUAUUUUUUUAAAAAGUGAUAAAGGCACAUUUGUUCUCAGAGCUUCAUUGCUUUUUUCACAAAAACACAUGCCUUAUCUUACAACUUACAGCAUCUCAAAAUCAUAGGUUAUUCAAAUAAUUUGAAGGGUGUUUUUCAAAUUUUUAAAAAUGUUUUUAUUGAUUUCAGAGAGGAAGGGAGAGGGAGAGAGAAAUAGAAACAUCAAUAAUGAGAAUCAUCAAUCACCUACCUCAUGAACGUGCCUACAGGGGAUCAAGUCCGAAACUCCGGACUUGUGCCCUGACCAGGAAUUUAACCAUGACCUCCUGGUUCAUGGGUUGAUGGUCAUCCACUGAGCUAUACUGGCCAGGCUAAAAAGUAUUUUAACUUUAAAGUUUAAAAUGUUGAUUGUAAAUACAGGAACAUUCCUGAGCUUAAGUUCAAGAACUCAACCAUUAUAAGAAUUUUUGCCAGUGUGUUAAGCAAAAACAUUUGAACAUAAGUUAAUCAUUAUUAAAGAAAAAUGAAGACUAUUUUUACAUUAUGAUUUUUGUAUCUGCCAACAUCAAACAGAUAUACUAAAUAUACUUUCAGAGAAUGACCUAAGGCAGAGAAAAGAAAAGGGAAACCUUGGUUAGACAGUCUCACUUUCUAAGUAAUGUUUCUUUUAUUUUGUUUUGGGCUUUUGAAAAUGAAAGGUUUGCUUCGUUUGAGAAACAUGUGCUCCCUCUUUUUCUCAAUUUAGUGUGAAAAUUUAUAAACAUGGGCCAGUUUGGUUUUUAGUGCUACAAAAUAUAAAUGUAUCUGAAACAGGAGAGAGGAAAAAAAGCCAGACAGUUAGUUUAACUUAACUUCCUUGUUGUGAAGUUCAGUAUAGUUUUCCAAUCCUGAUCAGUCAUAGAAUUAAUAGGACACUGUUUUCACCUUCCAAAUUCAUAGCUUACUAGUUCACAGUCUUAGAGGGUAGCCUUCCUGCUUCAUCUGUCUUUUUUUUU